GAUGAACGCUGGCGGCGUGCCCAAUACAUGCAAGUCGAGCGAACGGACGAGAAGCUUGCUUUUCUGAUGUUAGCGGCGGACGGGUGAGUAACACGUGGAUAACCUACCUAUAAGACUGGGAUAACUUCGGGAAACCGGAGCUAAUACCGGAUAAUAUUUUGAACCGCAUGGUUCAAAAGUGAAAGACGGUCUUGCUGUCACUUAUAGAUGGAUCCGCGCUGCAUUAGCUAGUUGGUAAGGUAACGGCUUACCAAGGCAACGAUGCAUAGCCGACCUGAGAGGGUGAUCGGCCACACUGGAACUGAGACACGGUCCAGACUCCUACGGGAGGCAGCAGUAGGGAAUCUUCCGCAAUGGGCGAAAGCCUGACGAAGCAACGCCGCGUGAGUGAUGAAGGUCUUCGGAUCGUAAAACUCUGUUAUUAGGGAAGAACAUAUGUGUAAGUAACUGUGCACAUCUUGACGGUACCUAAUCAGAAAGCCACGGCUAACUACGUG
rnacentral:rRNA from 1 species